AAACUUUAUAAUUCUGUAGGAAAUGACAUGCGUUUACCGGUACACCAGCGGUGAAUUGGUUUUACGUGAAUUCUGUAGGGAGAAAUUGGCCAGUUUUUCUUAUUCAAUGUUGUUCAUACAACAGUAAGCGACAACACAUCACCACAGGACGAAAAGAAGAUCUGAGCUGUAAAAAAAUAUGCCCAAGAACAAAGGUAAGUGAGGAAAGAAUCGUAGACGUGGAAAGAAUGAGAAUGAGUCAGAGAAGAGAGAGCUGGUGUUCAAAGAGGAUGGGCAGGAUCUAAGGACCUUCUACCAGAGGGUAUGGUUCGAUUUUCCCCUCCUCGCUGAAAAUCAACACAGGACUUCUGUACCCCACACACACACCAAAUUUCAAGGUUGACCCUCACAAUUUCCCAUUGAUACCAUGAACGCAGCUACUCACAAUCUCUUGCGUUAUCUUUUUAAUGUAUUUAUAUCAAUUUCACGCAGAGUGGAAUUUACUUACAAGUACAGAAUCUCUGGAUUCGCAAUAAAAAGAUAAACCAUUUUAUGUUUGGUCUUGCGGUCUGUAUCAUUGUAGUUGGAAGUGAACAUUGCUCUUUAUAUUAGUUAGGAUUAUUUUUUAUUUAUUACGAAACACAUUACCCCUGAAGUUGCCUCUGUAUCCUUUGAAAUGUUUGUUUAAUUCGAUAUUGUAUUCCGAUGACAUUUUGCAAUUACAGAACGAUUUGUUUGUAUUGAUCAAAGCCUAAUUGAAGGCUCUACCUCCCCUUCUGUUUUUCAAGUGUCUGUAUUUUUCUAUUGUUUACCCAUGUUUGUUUGUUUGUUUGUCUGUCUGUUGGUUUUAUGUUUGUUUUGAUCCACUACCAGAGGGAUGUCACAAAGCCUCACUCGGUUUAAGGUAAUUCAAAAAAAUGUUUUUAGAUGGGGUUAUUUUCCUAAGCUAUUCUUGAAUAUGGGUUGUCUCAUCAAUUAUUCCAUGCCUAUUUCUAGAAAAUAUUAACUUAUUUUAGAAUAUUAUGGAAUGUUAUUUAUCUGUUAUCUCCUUGGUCCUGCUUUGUGACACCUCCCUGUCUGUCAGAGAAAACAGCUAGCUGCUAACUAGCCUGGUGCUCUAGUGUUGCGCAGGUUGGAAUUUAUGAAUAUUGCCGUGGAGGCAGCACUGCAGUGGUCACUAACUGGCACAGCCACAAAGUCAUAACCCUAAUGCCUGACUCGAACCUUCAAUUAAGACCAAAAAGCACUGUUUUGUUUUCAUACAUUUUUUACAAUCUAGAUCAUUUUUACUUUGCAUUUAGUGCAAGGAUGGGCAACUCCAGUCCUUGUCGGCCGGAGUGGUGUCACAAUUUUUCUCCAUCCUUAGCAUACAUGGCAGAUUAAACCAAAUCAAAUCAAAUCAAAUGUAUUUAUAUAGCCCUUUGUACAUCAGCUGAUAUCUCAAAGUGCUGUACAGAAACUCAGCCUAAAACCCCAAACAGCAAACAAUGCAGGUGUAAAAGCAACUAAUUGCAUUCUAAACUGAAGAUCAUGAUUAGAUGAUUUAUUGGAGUCAGGUAUUUUAGCUGUGACACCAAUCAGGCUCCUGAGGACUGGAGUUGCCUAUCCAUGAUCUAGUGGAAAUCGCUCAGUUCUUCCCCCAGGGUAAGAUUCAUGACAAUCAACGUGCCUGUUGCUGCCCUAGUCAAUUCCUCUGUUCCUUUACUGUCUUGCCUAAGAUGUCAUGCAAGGCUUGGCAUCUAUAGAGGAGUUGGCAACAACACACAGUGUAUGGGACUAG